CCCAAUGUGGAAUUCGCCCUUAGAGUUUGUCCUGGCUCAGGAUGAACGCUAGCGGCGUGCCUAAUGCAUGCAAGUCGAACGGGAUCCUUUGGACUCGUCUAAAGGUGAGAGUGGCGAACGGGUGAGUAACACGUUGGUGACCUACCCCAGAGAGGGGGAUAACCAUUGGAAACGAUGGCUAAUACCCCGGAUGUCAUUAUUGUUAGAGAGUAAUGACUAAAGCUCCGGCGCUCUGGGAGGGGCCUGCGGCCCAUCAGCUAGUUGGUAGGGUAACGGCCUACCAAGGCAAAGACGGGUAGGGGGCGUGAGAGCGUGACCCCCCACACUGGUACUGACACACGGACCAGAUACCUACGGGUAGCAGCAGCAAGGAAUAUUGCCCAAUGGACGAAAGUCUGAGGCAGCAACGCCGCGUGGAGGAUGAAGGCCUUCGGGUUGUAAACUCCUUUUCUGGGGGAAGAGAAAGGACGGUACCCCAGAAAUAAUCUCGGCUAACUACGUGCCGCAGCCGCGGUAAACGUAGGAGGCGAGCGUUAUCCGGAUUUACUGGGCGUAAAGCGCGUGUAGGCGGUUUUCUAAGUCGGACGUGAAAGCUCCCGGCUCAACUGGGAGAGGUCGUUCGAUACUAGAAAACUUGAGGGUGGUAGAGGAGAGUGGAAUUCCCGGUGUAGUGGUGAAAUGCGUAGAUAUCGGGAGGAACACCAGUGGCGAAGGCGGCUCCUGGGCCACUCCUGACGCUAAGACGCGAAAGCUAGGGGAGAGAACGGGAUUAGAAACCCCGGUAUUCCUAGCCGUAAACGAUGUCAACUAGGUGUAGGGGGUAUCCAACCCCCCUGUGCUGCAGCUAACGCGUUAAGUUGACCGCCUGGGGACUACGGCCGCAAGGCUAAAACUCAAAGGAAUUGACGGGGACCCGCACAAGCAGCGGAGCGUGUGGUUUAAUUCGAGGCUACGCGAAGAACCUUACCAGGGUUUGACAUGGCGGUGGUAGGAAGGCGAAAGCUAACCGACCCUUCGGGGAGCCGUCACAGGUGCUGCAUGGCUGUCGUCAGCUCGUGCCGUGAGGUGUUAGGUUAAGUCCCGCAACGAGCAAGGGCGAAUUCCACAGUG
rnacentral:rRNA from 1 species